AACGAACGCUGGCGGCAGGCUUAACACAUGCAAGUCGAACGCCCCGCAAGGGGAGUGGCAGACGGGUGAGUAACACGUGGGAACGUGCCCUAAGGUACGGAACAACUCCGGGAAACUGGAGCUAAUACCGUAUGUGCCCGAGAGGGGAAAGAUUUAUCGCCUUGGGAUCGGCCCGCGUCUGAUUAGCUAGUUGGUAGGGUAAUGGCCUACCAAGGCUACGAUCAGUAGCUGGUCUGAGAGGAUGGCCAGCCACACUGGGACUGAGACACGGCCCAGACUCCUACGGGAGGCAGCAGUGGGGAAUAUUGGACAAUGGGCGAAAGCCUGAUCCAGCCAUGCCGCGUGAGUGAUGAAGGCCUUAGGGUUGUAAAGCUCUUUCGCCAGGGACGAUAAUGACGGUACCUGGAUAAGAAGCCCCGGCUAACUUCGUGCCAGCAGCCGCCGU
rnacentral:rRNA from 1 species